AUGAUAAACAAAGUCAGAUCCACCAGCCUCCCCACGGCAGCCCACAAGUUUGCUCCACCAACAACCUUCCAAGAAAAGUCGGGAUUCUUCAAGGAAUCGGCCAUGGCCGACGCCGGAGCAGGCCGGCGCAUCACCGUGAGGUCCGUCUCUUGCCGCGGGGUCAAGUCCUUUGUCCCCUUCCAGAAGCCGCCGCUCUACGCGGCCGUGUCCCUCGGCGGCCGCCGGGAGAAGACGCCCGCCGACCCGGACGGCGGCGAGAACCCGGACUGGGACGACGCCGUCUUCGCGUUCGACGUCGACGGCGCGGGCGCGGGAGUGGCCGGCGACGGCGGGCUCCUGCAGUUCGAGGUCAAGGCGCAGGUGCCGCUCCUCGGCACCAAGCUCGUCGGCACGACCUGCGUGCCGCUGUCCCAUCUCGGCGGCGACGGCGGGGCGCCGCGGCGCGCGAGCUACCAGGUGCUCGCCCCCGACGGUAAGCCCAACGGCAGCCUCAGCUUCGUCUACGCCUUCACCGGCGGCGGCGCGUAUCAGCAGCCGCAGAUCUACGGCGCGCCGGAGCAAGACCUCGGCUCUUGCUGCGCGCCUCCGCCGCCCCCGUCGAGCUCGGCUUAUCCAGCUCCGGCGAUGACAAACUUUACUCCACACGGCAGCAGCUACCCUCCGCCGCCGUCGAGUUCGUCUUAUCCAGCUCCGGCGACAACAAGCUUUGCGCCACACGGCAGCAGCUACCCACAACCACCAUCUCCAUUACCGCCAGGGUCUUCAUUGUAUCCGUCGCUACACGACGUUCUGCCGCCAAGCAGCUACCCUCCGCCGGGAACGACGGGCUCACUGUUUCCGUCGUCAAAUUUCGGACCAAACAGUAGCUACCCGCCGCCGUCGGCACCGGCCACUGCAUAUCCGCCACCGCCGCCGUCGUGCACAGCCUGCCCGGCUCCUCCGGCACAAUACAUCAGCAGCUAUCCACCUCCACUGCCGAGCUAUUAUCCUCCUCCACCACCGAGCGGCUACCCACCUCCAGCACGGAUGAACCCGGAGUUCCCGGCUUCCAGCUUCCCUCCUCCAGCCAGCAGCUAUCCGCCGCCGCCAGAGUCCGGCUCAGAGUUUCCUGUCUUGUCAAGGUCAGUUGAUCGUGCACUGCCAUACAUGGCGCCCAUGUUUCAUGACCCCGGCAGCACUUACCCGCCGGUGCCUUCCGCCGGCUCUUACUACCCUCCGCCGGGGACACGGCACCGCGAGGAAGGGGCGAGUUCGCCGUACUACUACCCUCAGCCUGGGACCCGCUACUCGUAG
rnacentral:rRNA from 1 species